rnacentral:rRNA from 1 species
GACGAACGCUGGCGGCGUGCUUAACACAUGCAAGUCGAGCGGUAAGGCCCUUUCGGGGGUACACGAGCGGCGAACGGGUGAGUAACACGUGGGUGACCUGCCCUCAGCUCUGGGAUAAGCCUGGGAAACCGGGUCUAAUACCGGAUAUGACUCCAUGACGCACGUUGUGGGGUGGAAAGCCUUGUGCGGCUGAGGAUGGGCCCGCGGCCUAUCAGCUUGUUGGUGGGGUGANGGCCUACCAAGGCGACGACGGGUAGCCGGCCUGAGAGGGCGACCGGCCACACUGGGACUGAGACACGGCCCAGACUCCUACGGGAGGCAGCAGUGGGGAAUCUUGCGCAAUGGGCGAAAGCCUGACGCAGCGACGCCGCGUGAGGGAUGACGGCCUCGGUGUAAC